rnacentral:rRNA from 1 species
AAUGAACGCUGGCGGCGCGCCUAACACAUGCAAGUCGAACGCGAAAAUACCUUCGGGUGUGAGUAGAGUGGCGGACGGGUGAGUAACGCGUGAGAAUCUGCCCUUUAGUAAGGAAUACCUUCGGGAAACUGAAGUUAAUACCGUAUGUGCUCUGCGGAGUAAAGACGGCCUCUUGCUGUCGCUAAAGGAUGAGCUCGCGUAUUAUUAGUUAGUUGGUGGGGUAAAGGCCUACCAAGACUUAGAUAAUUAGCCGGCCUGAGAGGGUGAUCGGCCACAUUGGGACUGAGACACGGCCCAGACUCCUACGGGAGGCAGCAGUGGGGAAUAUUGCACAAUGGAGGAAACUCUGAUGCAGCGACGCCGCGUGGAGGAUGAAGGGUUUUCGGCUCGUAAACUCCUGUCAAGUGGGAAUAAAGGCUAAGUGUUAAUAGCACUUGGAGAUGAAGGUACCACUAGAGGAAGCUCCGGCUAACUUCGUG